AUGGCGGAUGACGCCGGUGCAGCAGGGGGCCCUGGAGGCCCUGGGAUGGGGAACCGCAGUGGCUUCCGCAGUGGCAUCUGGGGCUGGGGUCACGGGCGUGGACGGGGCCGGGGCUGAGCCCGCAGAGCUCGCGGAGGCAAGGCCGAGGAUAAGGAGGAAUCAGAGAUCAUUGACUUUUUCCUGGGGGCCUCUCUCAAGGAUGAGGUUUUGAAGAUUAUGCCAGUGCAGAAGCAAACCCGUGCCGGCCAGCGCACUAGGUUCAAGGCGUUUGUUGCUAUCGGGGACUACAAUGGCCACGUCGGUCUGGGUGUUAAGUGCUCCAAGGAGGUGGCCACCGCCAUCUGUGGGGCCAUCAUCCUGGCCAAGCUCUCCAUUGUACCUGUGGGCAGAGGCUACUGGGGGAACAAGAUCGGCAAGGCCCACACCGUCCCUUGCAAGGUGACAGGCCGCUGCGGCUCUGUGCUGGUGCGCCUCAUCCCUGCACCUAGGGGCACUGGCAUCAUCUCCGCACCUGUGCCCAAGAAGCUGCUCAUGAUGGCUGGUAUCGAUGACUGCUACACCUCAGCCCGGGGCUGCACUGCCACCCUGGGCAACUUUGCCAAGGCCACCUUUGAUGCCAUUUCUAAGACCUACAGCUACCUGACCCCCGACCUCUGGAAGGAGACUGUAUUUACCAAGUCUCCCCAUCAGGAAUUCACUGACCACCUCGUCAAGACCCACACCAGAGUCUCCAUGCAGCGGACCCAGGCUCCAGCUGUGGCUACAACAUAGGGUUUUUAUACAAGAAAAAUAAAGUGAAUUAAGCCUGAAAAAAAA